GAUGAACGCUGGCGGCGUGCCUAAUACAUGCAAGUCGAGCGAACAGACGAGGAGCUUGCUCCUCUGACGUUAGCGGCGGACGGGUGAGUAACACGUGGAGAACCUACCUAUAAGACUGGGAUAACUUCGGGAAACCGGAGCUAAUACCGGAUAAUAUAUUGAACCGCAUGGUUCAAUAGUGAAAGACGGUUUUGCUGUCACUUAUAGAUGGAUCCGCGCCGCAUUAGCUAGUUGGUAAGGUAACGGCUUACCAAGGCAACGAUGCGUAGCGGACCUGAGAGGGUGAUCGGCCACACUGGAACUGAGACACGGUCCAGACUCCUACGGGAGGCAGCAGUAGGGAAUCUUACGCAAUGGGCGAAAGCCUGACGGAGCAACGCCGCGUGAGUGAUGAAGGUCUUCGGAUCGUAAAACUCUGUUAUUAGGGAAGAACAAAUGUGUAAGUAACUAUGCACGUCUUGACGGUACCUAAUCAGAAAGCAACGGCUAACUACGUG
rnacentral:rRNA from 1 species